AGUGAACGCUGGCGGUAGGCCUAACACAUGCAAGUCGAACGGCAGCACAGUAAGAGCUUGCUCUUACGGGUGGCGAGUGGCGGACGGGUGAGGAAUACAUCGGAAUCUACUUUUUCGUGGGGGAUAACGUAGGGAAACUUACGCUAAUACCGCAUACGACCUACGGGUGAAAGCAGGGGAUCUUCGGACCUUGCGCGAUUGAAUGAGCCGAUGUCGGAUUAGCUAGUUGGCGGGGUAAAGGCCCACCAAGGCGACGAUCCGUAGCUGGUCUGAGAGGAUGAUCGGCCACACUGGAACUGAGGCACGGUCCAGACUCCUACGGGAGGCAGCAGUGGGGAAUAUUGGACAAUGGGCGCAAACCUGAUCCAGCCAUACCGCGUGGGUGAAGAAGGCCUUCGGGUUGUAAAGCCCUUUUGUUGGGAAAGAAAAGCAGCAGGUUAAUACCCCGCUGUUCUGACGGUACCCAAAGAAUAAGCACCGGCUAACUUCGUG
rnacentral:rRNA from 1 species